rnacentral:rRNA from 1 species
UGCAACUCGCCUGCAUGAAGUCGGAAUUGCUAGUAAUCGUAGGUCAGCAUACUACGGUGAAUACGUUCCCGGGCCUUGUACACACCGCCCGUCAAACCAUGAGAGUUGGCAACACCCGAAGUCGGUAGUCUAACCGCAAGGAGGACGCCGCCGAAGGUGGGGUUGAUGAUUAGGGUUAAGUCGUAACAAGGUAGC